rnacentral:rRNA from 1 species
CCUACGGGUGGCAGCAGUGAGGAAUAUUGGUCAAUGGACGGAAGUCUGAACCAGCCAUGCCGCGUGCAGGAAGACGGCUCUAUGAGUUGUAAACUUCUUUUGUCAAGGGACAAAAUCAGGCUCGAGAGCCUGACCGAGGGUACUUGAAGAAAAAGCAUCGGCUAACUCCGUGCCAGCAGCCGCGGUAAUACGGAGGAUGCGAGCGUUAUCCGGAUUUAUUGGGUUUAAAGGGUGCGUAGGCGGGCUGUUAAGUCAGCGGUAAAAGCCCGGGGCUCAACCCCGGCGAGCCGUUGAAACUGGCUGUCUUGAGAUGUCGAGAGGUAUGCGGAAUGCGCAGUGUAGCGGUGAAAUGCUUAGAUAUUGCGCAGAACUCCGAUUGCGAAGGCAGCAUACCGGCGGCGAUCUGACGCUGAGGCACGAAAGCGUGGGUAUCGAACAGGAUUAGAUACCCUUGUAGUC